rnacentral:rRNA from 1 species
AUUGAACGCUGGCGGCAGGCCUAACACAUGCAAGUAGGACGCAGUUGCGAACGGGUGAGUAACGCGUAGGUAACUGCCUAUUAGCGGGGGAUAACUAUUGGAAACGAUAGCUAAUACCGCAUACUAGUAGAUGGACCUGUGUUGUCUUAGCUAGUAGGUAGGGUAAUGGCCUACCUAGGCGACGAGACAUAGCCGACCGUAGAGGGUGAUCGGCCACACUGGGACUGGUACACGGCCCAGACUCCUACGGGAGGCAGCAGUAGGGAAUCUUCGGCAAUGGGGGGCACCCUGACCGAGCAACGCCGCGUGAGUGAAGAAGGUUUUCGGAUCGUAAAGCUCUGUUGUUAAGGAAGCGGUACUUAACCAGAAAGGGACGGCUAACUCCGUGCCAGCAGCCGCGGUAAUAC